rnacentral:rRNA from 1 species
AAGGCGGUUCUCUGGGCCUUUCCUGACGCUKAGGAGCGAAAGCGUGGGGAGCGAACAGGSUUAGAUACCCUGGKAGUCCACGCUGUAAACGGURGGUACUAGGUGUGGGGUCSAUUCCACGGGUUCCGUGCCUGUASUAACGCUUUAAGUACCCCGCCUGGGGAGUACGGCCGCAAGGCUAAAACUCAAAGGAAUUGACGGGGCCCCGCACAAGCGGCGGAGCAUGCGGAUUAAUUCGAUAGCAACGCGUAGAACCUUACCUAGUGGUUUGACAUGGAUCGGGAGYGCUCAGAGAUGGGUGUGCCUCUUUUGGGGUACGGUUCACAGAGUGUGUGCAUAUGCUKUCGUCAGCUCGUGUCUGUGAGAUGUUGGGUUAAGUCYCCGCAACGAGCGCAACCCUUKUUCACUKUUGCCAGCACGUUAUGGUGGGGACUCAGUGGAGACCGCCGGGGUCAACYCGGAGGAAGGUGGGGAUGACGUCAAGUCAUCAUGCCCCUUAUGUACUCAGGGCUUCACGACAGUGCUACAAUGGCUGGWUACAGAGAGUGGCGAGCCUGUGAGGGUGAGCGAAUCYCGGAAAGCCGGUCUCAGUUCGGAUUGGGGUCUGCAACUCGACCUCAUGAAGUCGGAGUCGCUAGUAAUCGCAGAUCAGCAACGCUGCGGUGAAUACGUUCCCGGGGCUUGCACUCACCGCCCGUCAAUCAC